CCUACGGGAGGCCGCAGUAGGGAAUAUUGCUCAAUGGGGGAAACCCUGAAGCAGCAACGCCGCGUGGAGGAUGAAGGUUUUCGGAUUGUAAAGUCCUGUUGUUAGAGAAGAAAAUGACGGUAUCUAACGAAUAAGAAGCGGGGAACUCCGUGCCAGCAGCCGCGGUAAUACGGAGGGGGCAAGAGUUACUCGGAAUAACUGGGCGUAAAGAGCGCGUAGGGGGGAUAGCAAGUAUGAUGUGAAAUCCCAUGGCUUAACCAUAGCACUGCAUUUGAAACUCUUAUUCUAGAGUAUCGGAGAGGUAGGUGGAAUUCUUUGUGUAGCGGUUAAAUCCGUA
rnacentral:rRNA from 1 species